CGGUUAAGUUAGAAAGGGCGCACGGUGGAUGCCUUGGCACUAGGAGCCGAUGAAGGACGGGACGAACACCGAUAUGCUUCGGGGAGCUGUAAGCAAGCUUUGAUCCGGAGAUUUCCGAAUGGGGAAACCCACCACUCGUAAUGGAGUGGUAUCCAUAUCUGAAUACAUAGGAUAUGAGAAGGCAGACCCGGGGAACUGAAACAUCUAAGUACCCGGAGGAAGAGAAAGCAAAUGCGAUUCCCUGAGUAGCGGCGAGCGAAACGGGACCAGCCCAAACCAAGAGGCUUGCCUCUUGGGGUUGUAGGACACUCUGUACGGAGUUACAAAGGAACGAGGUAGAUGAAGAGGUCUGGAAAGGCCCGCCAUAGGAGGUAACAGCCCUGUAGUCAAAACUUCGUUCUCUCCUGAGUGGAUCCUGAGUACGGCGGAACACGUGAAAUUCCGUCGGAAUCCGGGAGGACCAUCUCCCAAGGCUAAAUACUCCCUAGUGACCGAUAGUGAACCAGUACCGUGAGGAAAGGUGAAAAGCACCCCGGAAGGAGUGAAAGAGAUCCUGAAACCGUGUGCCUACAAGUAGUCAGAGCCCGUUAACGGGUGAUGGCGUGCCUUUGUAGAAUGAACCGGCGAGUUACGAUCCCGUGCAAGGUUAAGCAGAAGAUGCGGAGCCGCAGCGAAAGCGAGUCUGAAUAGGGCGAAUUGAGUACGUGGUCGUAGACCCGAAACCAGGUGAUCUACCCAUGUCCAGGGUGAAGUUCAGGUAACACUGAAUGGAGGCCGAACCCACGCACGUUGAAAAGUGCGGGGAUGAGGUGUGGGUAGGGGUGAAAUGCCAAUCGAACCUGGAGAUAGCUGGUUCUCUCCGAAAUAGCUUUAGGGCUAGCCUCAAGGUAAGAGUCUCGGAGGUAGAGCACUGAUUGGACUAGGGGCCCCUACCGGGUUACCGAAUUCAGUCAAACUCCGAAUGCCGAUGACUUAUCCUUGGGAGUCAGACUGCGAGUGAUAAGAUCCGUAGUCGAAAGGGAAACAGCCCAGACCGCCAGCUAAGGUCCCAAAGUAUACGUUAAGUGGAAAAGGAUGUGGAGUUGCUUAGACAACCAGGAUGUUGGCUUAGAAGCAGCCACCAUUUAAAGAGUGCGUAAUAGCUCACUGGUCGAGUGACUCUGCGCCGAAAAUGUACCGGGGCUAAACGUAUCACCGAAGCUGCGGACUGUUCUUCGAACAGUGGUAGGAGAGCGUUCUAAGGGCUGUGAAGCAAGACCGGAAGGACUUGUGGAGCGCUUAGAAGUGAGAAUGCCGGUAUGAGUAGCGAAAGAGGGGUGAGAAUCCCCUCCACCGAAUGCCUAAGGUUUCCUGAGGAAGGCUCGUCCGCUCAGGGUUAGUCGGGACCUAAGCCGAGGCCGAAAGGCGUAGGCGAUGGAUAACAGGUUGAUAUUCCUGUACCACCUCCUCACCAUUUGAGCAAUGGGGGGACGCAGGAGGAUAGGGUAAGCGCGGUAUUGGAUAUCCGCGUCCAAGCAGUUAGGCUGGGAAAUAGGCAAAUCCGUUUCCCGUGAAGGCUGAGCUGUGAUGGCGAGCGAAUUAUAGUAGCGAAGUUCCUGAUUCCACACUGCCAAGAAAAGCCUCUAGCGAGGUGAGAGGUGCCCGUACCGCAAACCGACACAGGUAGGCGAGGAGAGAAUCCUAAGGUGAUCGAGAGAACUCUCGUUAAGGAACUCGGCAAAAUGACCCCGUAACUUCGGGAGAAGGGGUGCUCUGUUAGGGUGCAAGCCCGAGAGAGCCGCAGUGAAUAGGCCCAGGCGACUGUUUAGCAAAACACAGGUCUCUGCGAAGCCGUAAGGCGAAGUAUAGGGGCUGACGCCUGCCCGGUGCUGGAAGGUUAAGAGGAGCGCUUAGCGUAAGCGAAGGUGCGAAUUGAAGCCCCAGUAAACGGCGGCCGUAACUAUAACGGUCCUAAGGUAGCGAAAUUCCUUGUCGGGUAAGUUCCGACCCGCACGAAAGGCGCAACGAUCUGGGCACUGUCUCAACGAGAGACUCGGUGAAAUUAUAGUACCUGUGAAGAUGCAGGUUACCCGCGACAGGACGGAAAGACCCGUGGAGCUUUACUGCAGCCUGAUAUUGAAUGUUGGUACAGCUUGUACAGGAUAGGUAGGAGCCUUGGAAACCGGAGCGCCAGCUUCGGUGGAGGCAUCGGUGGGAUACUACCCUGGCUGUAUUGACCUUCUAACCCGCCGCCCUUAUCGGGCGGGGAGACAGUGUCAGGUGGGCAGUUUGACUGGGGCGGUCGCCUCCUAAAAGGUAACGGAGGCGCCCAAAGGUUCCCUCAGAAUGGUUGGAAAUCAUUCGCAGAGUGUAAAGGCACAAGGGAGCUUGACUGCGAGACCUACAAGUCGAGCAGGGACGAAAGUCGGGCUUAGUGAUCCGGUGGUUCCGCAUGGAAGGGCCAUCGCUCAACGGAUAAAAGCUACCCCGGGGAUAACAGGCUUAUCUCCCCCAAGAGUCCACAUCGACGGGGAGGUUUGGCACCUCGAUGUCGGCUCAUCGCAUCCUGGGGCUGUAGUCGGUCCCAAGGGUUGGGCUGUUCGCCCAUUAAAGCGGUACGCGAGCUGGGUUCAGAACGUCGUGAGACAGUUCGGUCCCUAUCCGUCGCGGGCGCAGGAAAUUUGAGAGGAGCUGUCCUUAGUACGAGAGGACCGGGAUGGACGCACCGCUGGUGUACCAGUUGUUCUGCCAAGGGCAUCGCUGGGUAGCUAUGUGCGGACGGGAUAAGUGCUGAAAGCAUCUAAGCAUGAAGCCCCCCUCAAGAUGAGAUUUCCCAUUCCGCAAGGAAGUAAGAUCCCUGAAAGAUGAUCAGGUUGAUAGGUCUGAGGUGGAAGUGUGGCGACACAUGGAGCUGACAGAUACUAAUCGAUCGAGGACUUAACCAAUUU
rnacentral:rRNA from 1 species